rnacentral:rRNA from 1 species
AGUGAACGCUGGCGGUAGGCCUAACACAUGCAAGUCGAACGGCAGCACAGUAAGAGCUUGCUCUUACGGGUGGCGAGUGGCGGACGGGUGAGGAAUACAUCGGAAUCUACUUUUUCGUUGGGGAUAACGUAGGGAAACUUACGCUAAUACCGCAUACGACCUACGGGUGAAAGCAGGGGAUCUUCGGACCUUGCGCGAUUGAAUGGGCCGAUGUCGGAUUAGCUAGUUGGCGGGGUAAAGGCCCACCAAGGCGACGAUCCGUAGCUGGUCUGAGAGGAUGAUCAGCCACACUGGAACUGAGACACGGUCCAGACUCCUACGGGAGGAAGCAGUGGGGAAUAUUGGACAAUGGGCGCAAGCCUGAUCCAGCCAUACCGCGUGGGUGAAGAAGGCCUUAGGGUUGUAAAGCCAUUUUGUUGGGAAAGAAAAGCAGCAGGUUAAUACCCCGCUGUUCUGACGGUACCCAAAGAAUAAGCGCCGGCUAACUUCGUG